CCCAGGGAGCAGCAACUCCUCUGAUUGGUGGGUUCGGGAGAAGGAAGACCUGGUUGGCUAGUCCCUCCACCUGCAGAGGUGGCUGGUCUAGACCUCUACCCCAGCAAGGAUUUGCCUGUGAAGUCAGUUGAUCCUGGACUUUUGUUGGGGUUUUUUUAAUCCCAGUUUCAACUUCGGUACUUGUGAUUGGCCUGCUCGUAUUUCCCAUUUCUUCCUGCUUCCUGCUCACGUGGUUCUAACACUUCCCCAACCUUGUGAACCGUCUGCUGAAGUUGUCAGGUUCUGUCCCUGUAACUCCAGCUAUCCUCC
ensembl:lncRNA